rnacentral:lncRNA from 10 species
CAAGAAAUAUUUAUUAAUCACCUAAAUCAUUCUAGAAACUGGGGAUACAGCAGUAAAGAAUACAAAAAAUCCUGCCCUUAUAGAGCAUACAUUCUAGAGGUGGGAAAGAGGCAAUAAAUAAGAUAAUUGAGUGCUAUAUAGUAUGUUAGGUAUUGAGUGCUAAGGAAAAUAAUAAAAUGAGGAAAGAGGAUAGGAAAUGCCAGAUGGUUUACAAGUUUAGCUAUUGUGUUCAAGAAAGUUCUCACAAAAAGGUAAGUUGAGUGAAGACCUGAAGGAGGUAAAAGAGUGACCUUUGCGGAUAUCUGGGAAAGACUGUCCCCAGGAGAAUGAACAAUAAGGGCAAAGACCCUGAGGUAGGUAUUAUCAUCUCCAUUUUUACAGAUGGGAAAAUUACUUGCCCAAGAGCCCAUUGCUUGAAGACGGAGCCAGGAUUCAAACUCAGGUCUGCUUGAUGUUAGAGCUAGUGUACCACACACCUGCCCAGCGACGUAGUGUGAGUGACAUUAGGCAAUCUAGAAACACUCUAUACUAUGGAUGAUGACACAAAGCCUAGAAGCAUGAAGCAACUUGCUGGGAUGAACACGUGUGGGAUAGUUAUGGAGCACAGAUUACAGAGUUAGAUACAUCUAAACCUGAAAACAGGCCCCACACUUUUGUAGCUAUGUGAUCUUGGGCAAGUUAUUAAAUAUCUCUAACUCCCACAUCAUCCACAGAACAAGGAUAGAAAUGCCUGCCAGGGAUUUGGUGGGGAUUAGAUAAAUUAGUACUUGUACAGCACCUCACACAGUGACCGGUACAGGGGAGAUGCACUAAAUGUGUUCAC